CAGUGAACCAAAGAAUACGCAUCUCCCUGGAACUGGGAAUGGUGUUCGCACGCAUGCAGCGCUAAUGGGAAAGAAAAGUGCUUUUUUACAAGCUUAUAUAAUUGGGACAUAUAUAGCUCCUUCGCUCUUUUUUCCUCUGCACGUCGGAGCUCCUCUUCUUCCCUCUGCCUCUCCUCUUCCUCUGUUAUCCGAUGUUGUAUUUUCAUGAAAAGGCCAAAAUCUUGUCUUCCAUAAAAAAGAUGAAGCUGGUCUUUGGUCACUCUUUUUCUGCAUUAUUCAUCUUACUGACCUGCUCUGGUUCCUUCAGAUCCUUCUGUGUCCUGCCAGCAUGGAGCUUCUCGCUGUGUCAUGUAAGGGUCGAGCA